CCUACGGGAGGCAGCAGUGAGGAAUAUUGGUCAAUGGGCGCGAGCCUGAACCAGCCAAGUCGCGUGAGGGAUGAAGGUUCUAUGGAUCGUAAACCUCUUUUAUAAGGGGAUAAAGUGUGGGACGUGUCCUAUUUUGUCUGUCCCUUAUGAAUAAGGAUCGGCUAACUCCGUGCCAGCAGCCGCGGUAAUACGGAGGAUCCUAGCGUUCUCCGGAUUUAUUGGGUUUAAGGGGUGCGUAGGCGGCCUUUUAAUUCAGCGGGGAAAGUCUGUGGCGCAACCAUAGAAUUGCCGUUGAUACUGGGGGGCUUGAGUAUGUUUGAGGCAGGCGGAAUGCGUGGUGUAGCGGUGAAAUGCUUAGAUAUAACGCAGAACCCCGAUUGCGAAGGCAGCC
rnacentral:rRNA from 1 species